rnacentral:rRNA from 1 species
GACGAACGCUGGCGGCGUGCUUAACACAUGCAAGUCGAACGGAAAGGCCCUGCUUGCAGGGUACUCGAGUGGCGAACGGGUGAGUAACACGUGGGUGAUCUGCCCUGCACUUCGGGAUAAGCCUGGGAAACUGGGUCUAAUACCGGAUAGGAGCCAUUUUGAGUGUGAUGGUUGGAAAGUUUUUUCGGUGUAGGAUGAGCUCGCGGCCUAUCAGCUUGUUGGUGGGGUAAUGGCCUACCAAGGCGGCGACGGGUAGCCGGCCCGAGAGGGUGGACGGCCACAGUGGGACUGAGAUACGGCCCAGACCCCGACGGGAGGCAGCAGGGGGGAAUAUUGCACAAUGGGCGCAAGCCUGAUGCAGCGACGCCGCGGGGGGGAGGACGGCCUUCGGGUUGGAAACUCCUUUCGCUAGGGACGAAGCUUUUUGUGACGGUACCUAGAGAAGAAGCACCGGCUAACUACGUG